GUGACCUACGGGGCGCAGCAGUGAGGAAUAUUGGUCAAUGGGCGGGAGCCUGAACCAGCCAAGUCGCGUGAGGGAAGACGGUCCUAUGGAUUGUAAACCUCUUUUGUCGGGGAGCAAAGAGAUCACGUGUGGUCAAAAGCGAGAGUACCCGAAGAAAAAGCAUCGGCUAACUCCGUGCCAGCAGCCGCGGUAAUACGGAGGAUGCGAGCGUUAUCCGGAUUUAUUGGGUUUAAAGGGUGCGUAGGCGGUCCGGAAAGUCAGCGGUAAAAGCCCGGGGCUCAACCCCGGCGAGCCGUUGAAACUGU
rnacentral:rRNA from 1 species